rnacentral:rRNA from 1 species
UACGAAGGGUGCAAGCGUUAAUCGGAAUUACUGGGCGUAAAGGGUGCGUAGGCGGUUCGUUAAGUCUGUCGUGAAAUCCCCGGGCUCAACCUGGGAAUGGCGAUGGAUACUGGCGAGCUAGAGUGUGUCAGAGGAUGGUGGAAUUCCCGGUGUAGCGGUGAAAUGCGUAGAUAUCGAGAGGAACACCAGUGGCGAAGGCGGCUCACUGGGCACCACCUGACGCUGAGGCGCGAAAGCGUGGGGAGCAAACAGG